rnacentral:rRNA from 1 species
AACGCGAAGACCCAGCAAUGGGUUUGUAGCGUGGCAAACGGGUGAGUAACGCGUGGGCGACCUGCCCUCGAGUGGGGGAUAACCUUCCGAAAGGAGGGCUAAUACCGCAUGACAUUCCGUGUUUGGAUACAUGGAAAUCAAAGCCGGGGAUCGCAAGACCUGGCGCUUGAGGAGGGGCCCGCGUCCGAUUAGCUAGUUGGUGAGGUAACGGCUCACCAAGGCUCCGAUCGGUAUCCGGCCUGAGAGGGCGGACGGACACACUGGGACUGAGACACGGCCCAGACUCCUACGGGAGGCAGCAGUGGGGAAUUGUUCGCAAUGGGCGCAAGCCUGACGACGCAACGCCGCGUGGAGGAUGAAGACCUUCGGGUCGUAAACUCCUUUCGACCGAGAUGAAGAGGCGCCGACCUAACACGUCGGCGCAUUGACAGUAUCGAGGGAAGCAGCCCCGGCUAACUCCGUGCCAGCAGCCGCGGUAAUACGGGGGGGGCAAGCGUUGUUCGGAAUUACUGGGCGUAAAGGGUUUGUAGGUGGCUUGCUAAGUCACACGUGAAAUCCCUCGGCUUAACCGGGGAACUGCGUGUGAAACUGGCGAGCUUGAGGACAGGAGAGGAACGCGGAAUUCCAGGUGUAGCGGUGAAAUGCGUAGAUAUCUGGAGGAACACCGGCGGCGAAGGCGGCGUUCUGGACUGUUUCUGACACUGAUAAACGAA